AAUGAACGUUGGCGGCGUGGAUUAGGCAUGCAAGUCGCGCGGACCAGCAAUGGUUAGCGGCGAAAGGGAGAGUAACGCGUGGGUUAUCCGCCUCUUGGGCCAGGAUAGCUGCGGGAAACUGCAGGUAAUACUGGAUAAUGUCUUCGGACCAAAGGUGUGAUUCCGCCGGGAGAUGAGCCCGCGUCCUAUUAGCUAGUUGGUGAGGUAAUGGCUCACCAAGGCUUAGAUGGGUAGGGGGUGUGAGAGCACGACCCCCCUCACUGGGACUGAGACACUGCCCAGACACCUACGGGUGGCUGCAGUCGAGGAUCUUCGGCAAUGGGCGAGAGCCUGACCGAGCGACGCCGCGUGUGGGAUGAAGGCCUUCGGGUUGUAAACCACUGUUGUAGAGGAGGAAAUUCUGGGGGGUUCUCCCCUCAGUUUGACCUAUUCUAGGAGGAAGUCAGGGCUAAGUUCGUGCCAGCCGCCGCGGUAA
rnacentral:rRNA from 1 species